UACGUAGGGCGCAAGCGUUGUCCGGAAUUAUUGGGCGUAAAGAGCUCGUAGGCGGUCUGUUACGUCCGCUGUGAAAACCCAGGGCUUAACCCUGGGCUUGCAGUGGAUACGGGUAAACUAGAGGCAGGUAGGGGAGAAUGGAAUUCCCGGUGUAGCGGUGAAAUGCGCAGAUAUCGGGAGGAACACCGGUGGCGAAGGCGGUUCUCUGGGCCUGACCUGACGCUGAGGAGCGAAAGCGUGGGGAGCGAACAGG
rnacentral:rRNA from 1 species